rnacentral:lncRNA from 1 species
UUGCCCAGUAGGGGGCGUUCAGCGCCAGGGACCACAGCGCCCCCUAGAGCCACAGUGCCAGGAGAAGCCGGUAGCCUGGAUCUGAGGAGCCCAGUGUGUCAGGUCAAGGGGUCCCUGUCUGCCUGUUGCCCUCCACAGCCAAGGAAGGGGCAGGGAAUGAGGGGUCUGGAUGGAUGACAGCUUGCAGGCGUGACUCCAGCCCUGCCCUGCGUCUUUGGCCCUGAGGACUGCAGAAAUCUGUGGGCCUCAGGAGCCCAGCUCCGGUAGGCCUCAGGGGCCCAGCUCCCGUAGGCCUCAGGGCACUCUGUGCUAGGCAUUGGUGGCCUGGGAAGGGAGAUAGCUCCAAGGUCUCUGGAGCUACGGGCAUCUUGAUCUCAGACCUAGACAUCUUCGACUUAACUGGAUUGUGGGUCGCCUCCUGCAGUUUCACCUUCGAAGGCAGAAGCAACACCCCCAGAAAGGCUGUCUCCCGCCAGGCCUGGCUACUGUUUUCCUCGAAAGCUCCAGGCUCCCACCCUACGUGUGCAGAUGAAGCCACAUCCUCACAGGCAAAAGCCAAACACAGUAACCUUUCAGCUGCCAACCUAUCAUGACUUUUGGAAUCCAAACUUACGGGGCUUGCACCAAUCAGAAAGAGAAGCCUAUCAGUUAAUUGUGGAGUUUAUAGAACAAGAACAGAUGUCCACAGCGGACAAGCAGAAUUUCCUCAGGGCUGUGGAAGUCCUCAGUGGUGCUGUGCACGCCGAGGGAAAUGGCAAUAUGAACGAUUAUUAUCCCAAAGCCACCCUGGCCAAGAAAAUUGAGGUGAGGAAGACCCAAGUUCUUCUAGGAAUUAGUCAUCCAGGGAUAAGGGUGACAGUCCCAGGAAGACCCACAGGGGAGGGGCUCUCAGAGGGGAAUUGUAGAUUCUUCCUGUUCCUUC